GCUGGGACUGCUCAGUUGGGAGAGCAUGAGACUCUCAAUCUCUGGGUCAUGGGUUCAAGCCCCACAUUGAGCA